CCUACGGGAGGCAGCAGUGAGGAAUAUUGGUCAAUGGACGAGAGUCUGAACCAGCCAAGUAGCGUGAAGGAUGACUGCCCUAUGGGUUGUAAACUUCUUUUAUAUGGGAAUAAAAUGUUCCACGUGUGGGGUUUUGUAUGUACCCUAUGAAUGAGGAUCGGCUAACUCCGUGCCAGCAGCCGCGGUAAUACAGAGGAUCCGAGCGUUAUCCGGAUUUAUUGGGUUUAAAGGGAGCGUAGGUGGGUUGUUAAGUCAGUUGUGAAAGUUUGCGGCUCAACCGUAAAAUUGCAGUUGAAACUGGCAGUCGUGAGUACAGUAGAGGUGGGCGGAAUUCGUGGUGUAGCGGUGAAAUGCUUAGAUAUCACGAAGAACUCCGAUUGCGAAGGCAGCUUACUGGACUGCAACUGACACUGAGGCUCGAAAGUGUGGGUAUCAAACAGGAUUAGAUACCCUGGUAGUC
rnacentral:rRNA from 1 species